AAAAACAAACAAAGAUAGGACAAAAAGCAAAAGUUUGAAGGAGGACCUUUGUGUGUGUGUGAAUUUUUAAACAAAGUGUGUUUUAUUUAAAAGCAUGGAACCGGUCUUUUUUUAAGCUUCCAGUUUUUCUUUUUUUUUUGUGUAAAGAAAAUGUCCUUGAACAACACAAACACCCGGAGCUCUUCCGUUAAACGCUCGAAGGAUAAUUAGUCAACAAUGAGAAAAAUGAAUAUUAGGAAAAACGAUAGAAUGAGUGAUGAAAAAUCCUUGAAAAACACUUAAAAUGUGAAACGAUGGUGAUGGAUUUUUUGUUAGGUAUUUUUUUUGUGGGUUGCGAUAUAUACUUACUAAACACUUAUCUCUUUUUAUAAAUAUUUUUUUUUUAUUUUUACUUUUUUCAAGUGUUUUGAGAAUUUCUUUUUUUUUGAAGCAUUUUUGAAGAAUUCUUCGGUGGUUUGAAAAUGGUUUUUUUAAGAGACAAACGAAGGAAGAGUAAAAGAAAAAGAUUGUAGGUAUAGUAUUUUGAAAAAGUUCUUGAAAAUAUAGAUACACUUGGGGGUAUUUUAGAAAUAACUUGCUGAUGUAGAAAGAUCGGUGACCGACAGAAGCGUAGGAUGAAUAAAUAAAGGAGUCCUUAGGUAUCUUUUGGUAGACUUUGUUUUUUUUUUUUUAAUUUUUUGUGUGUUUUGGGAGGCAUGAAAUGAAAUUUAUCUUUAGCAAUGACGAUGUGUUUUAUUUGAUCUGCGAUUAAGUAUAAGUUUGGUGAAAUGUAUUUUGUUUUUUUCUUUAUUUUUGCGAAGAAUUUUAAAUAGAUAAAAGGUUACGACUUUUGACAGUAUGAAGGUCAGUGAAAAGUAACUCUUUAAUUUCUACCAGCAUUGGGUGGUCUAUGAAUUUUAUCGAAAAAGGGUUGUGCUCUGUCAGUAUGGUUUUAUUGGACCACACUUGACAUAAUUUAAUAAAUCAAUUUUUGACCCUUUUCUUUUUAUUUUUAAAUUUUGGUCAAUGGUUUGGUUGACUUAUGGAACGGGGGGAAUAGAACCCCCCAUCCCAUACGAUUUUUUUACUUGUCAAAACUGAACCUACACGUUUUAGCUUUUAAUCACAUUUUAUGCAAAUCAUCUGUAUUUACCUACUCAAUUUUUUUUAUUGAUUUUUCGAA